rnacentral:lncRNA from 1 species
CGGGGUUCCAAGCAGAUAUCUGGAGGUUUGUCAUCGUCCAGCUUCCGCGUGGGCCGGAUGAAGGCAGGAGGCGUGAAUCGGCUGGUCCUGUCAAACUCCUCAGGCUCGACGCCACGCCCAUCUCGGAGCCGCUCCCAGGCUGCGCGGUUGAUACUGCUCUCUUCCUGGACCACGGGGGCGCUCGCCUCUGCUUCCUUCUCCUCCUGUACUUCCUGAACAGAGCCCUCCACAGUGCCACGGCGGGACCCUGGCAGCUCACCCCCACGUCUAAUGGAAGGCCUGUCCCGUAGCCCAUCCUUGAAGGCUGACACAGCCAGGCUCACCUUCUGCACCUGCUCUACUGUCUGCCGCUUGGACAUCAACACCCCCAUGGCUCUGUGGACAAAAUCAGUUUUAUCCAUUCGUGGAAGAGGCAGUGUAACAGGCUGCAGAACCUCAGGUCUCG